GACGAACGCUGGCGGCGUGCUUAACACAUGCAAGUCGAACGGGCCCGCUCUCUUUUUUGGGGGUGGGUUGAGUGGCGAACGGGUGAGUAUCACGUGAGUAACCUGCCCCCUGCUCCUGGAUAACUGCUUGAAAGGGCGGCUAAUACGGGGUGUGCCGGCUGGUCCGCAUGGGCCUGGUCGGGAUAGUUUCAUCUUCGGGUGUUUCGGUGGGGGAUGGGCUCGCGGCCUAUCAGCUUGUUGGUGGGGUGAUGGCCCACCAAGGCGGUGACGGGUAGCUGGCCUGCGAGGGUGGGCGGCCACACUGGGACUGAGACACGGCCCAGACUCCUGCGGGAGGCAGCAGUGGGGGGUAUUGCACAAUGGGCGGAAGCCUGAUGCAGCGACGUCGCGUGAGGGAUGGAGGCCUUCGGGUGGUGAACCUCUUUCUCCGGUGGUGAAGGCCCUGUCCGUUGCGGCGGGGUUGACGGUAGCCGGGUAUGAAGCGCCGGCUAACUACGUG
rnacentral:rRNA from 1 species